UGCCAGCAGCCGCGGUAAUACGGAGGGUGCAAGCGUUAUCCGGAUUUAUUGGGUUUAAAGGGUACGUAGGCGGUAAAAUCAGUCAGUGGUGAAAUCCAACAGCUUAACUGUUGAACUGCCAUUGAUACUACUUUACUUGAGUGCAGUCGAAGUAGGUGGAAUUCCACAUGUAGUGGUGAAAUGCAUAGAUAUGUGGAGGAACACCAAUAACGAAGGUAGCUUACUAGGCUGUUACUGACGCUGAGGUACGAAAGCGUGGGGAGCAAACGGGAUUAGAUA
rnacentral:rRNA from 1 species